AUGCACGCUGGCGGCGUGCCUAAUGCAUGCAAGUCGAGCGAACGGACGAGAAGCUUGCUUCUCUGAUGUUAGCGGCGGACGGGUGAGUAACACGUGGAUAACCUACCUAUAAGACUGGGAUAACUUCGGGAAACCGGAGCUAAUACCGGAUGAUAUUUUGAACCGCAUGGUUCAAAAGUGAAAGACGGUCUUGCUGUCACUUAUAGAUGGAUCCGCGCUGCAUUAGCUAGUUGGUAAGGUAACGGCUUACCAAGGCAACGAUGCAUAGCCGACCUGAGAGGGUGAUCGGCCACACUGGAACUGAGACACGGUCCAGACUCCUACGGGAGGCAGCAGUAGGGAAUCUUCCGCAAUGGGCGAAAGCCUGACGGAGCAACGCCGCGUGAGUGAUGAAGGUCUUCGGAUCGUAAAACUCUGUUAUUAGGGAAGAACAUAUGUGUAAGUAACUGUGCACAUCUUGACGGUACCUAAUCAGAAAGCCACGGCUAACUACGUG
rnacentral:rRNA from 1 species